GAAACUUCAUUAAGCCUAGAAGUAGAAAGAGAGCUCGGCUUUAAUGAGGCUUCUCCACAAAAAUUCAGCUUGUCCUUUCCCAGCCCAACCCUAACCACCCAACAUAGCUCAAACCCUAACCGCCACCACCAGGAGAUUACUGGACUUUAAACACAAAUACAAAUUCAGAGGGGGUUUCGUCAGAGACCAUGUUUUUGCAAGAACCAGUGUUACAUGUAGCAAGUGCAGCUUUAAGGUGUUUGGUAUUGUUUGCUGAGCUCCGGAAACCUGAUCCGAAUCGUGAAGCAUCAAAGAAAGCCCUUGAACAUAAGAAAGAAAUCUAAGCAUUUGGGUCGUCCCCUUAUCCAAACAAACCCUUAUGAGGUGUGUGUGUGUCUAAGUUUCUAUUUUUGUUGAAAAUAUCGGAUUUUUUUUGCAUUUUUUGAUUUGGGUUUUAGAGGAUUAUGUGAAUCUUGGUUCUAGGGGUAAUUAAUGGAAUUUAGGUUUGUUUUGGUUUAUUGUUUUCUGGAGGAUUCUGUGAAUUUUGGUUAUAUGGUCAGAUAAUGAAACGAAGAAUUUUGUGAAUUUGGAUUCUAGGGUUAGUUAAUGGCAUAUAGGCUUUGUUUUUAUUAUGUGCUAUUGGUUUAUUAUAUGCUUGAAUUGUCAUUUAUCCGCAAAAGUUUGAGUUUUGUUUGUGAUAGUGGGGUUGAGGUUGAUAUUGCAAUAAGGGAUGUGGGUGGUUUAUUGUAGGGAAUAGGGAUUUGGGGGGGGGGGGUCUGGGUGUUUUGAUGUUGAUAGGUGCUUUAAUCGUUGUUUGGGAUAUGAGGGAGUGAUUGCUUGUGCCAAAUGGGAUGGGAUUAAGUUUCCAGUUUUGCUGUGAUGAAUGAAGUUGCUUUUUGGUAGUUGAAACUAAGUUAUUUUCAGAUUGAGUUAUUUGUUGAACUUUUGAACUGAUGGGUUGAAGCUUAGGCCUCUGGGUGGAUGAAAAGUUCAAAUUCUUGUGUGACAAUGGAGAUGGGGGCCAUGAUAUUAAGAUUGCGAUGGGGGAUCUUGGUGGUUUAGUGGGUUAUUGUAGGGAAUAGGGAUUAGGCGAUUUGGGUGCUUUAGCGAGGAUAGGUAAUUUAAUCAGUUUUUGGAACUGCAGGGAGUGACUCCUUGUGCUGAAUAGGGUGUGUUUAAGUUUCCAGUUCUGCUGGGAUGCAUGAAGUUGUUUUGUGUUGGUAGAAACUAAGUUCAAUUCUGAUUGAGUUGUAUAUUGAGCUUUUGUACUGGAGCGCUGGAGUUUAGGCCUCUGGGUCGAUGUUAUAGCAUGCUUGAAUUGUCAUUUAUUUGAAAAAAGUUUGAAUUUUGUGUGAUAGUAGGAUGAGGACGAUAAGGGUAAGACUUCAAUAAGGGAUGUGUGUGGUUUGGUGGGUUAUUGUAGGGAACAGUGAUUGGAGAAUUAGGGUGUGUUGGUGAAGAUAGGUGCUUCCAUCAGUUUUGGGGAUGUUGGGGAGUGAUUGCUCAUGCUGAAUGAGAUAUGAUUAAAUUUCAAGUUUUGUUGGAUGGAUGGAGUUAUUUUUGGUUGGUGGAAACUGGAGACCAAUUUCGUUUCUGAUAUAUUGGAACUUUUGUACUAUUGUGUUGACCUUGGGUUGGUGCUAUAGUACUGUUGUCAUUGUUUAUACAACCAUAAACCGUUAUAAUAUUUCCUGGUGUCUUCAAAUGUGCCAUUUGUUUUCUAGGCUGUCUAUACUUUGUUGGCUGCUACCAUGCAACAAAUACUCAAAGUUUCUAACGUCAACUGAAUACAUGAAAAUAUGCAUCAAAUGGAGUAAAUUUGAGUCUCUUCUAUAUCAUAAACUAAUGGCACAUGAUUAUUAGUCACAGUUAUAUGAGUCCACCUUUUUUGAAAAUGAUACUGUGUCAACACCGAUGGCUGCUAUGUUCAGUAAUAGCCUCCUGCGUGACUGACUUGACAGGUUCAUAGUUGGAAGAAAUUAAAUUUGAAGACUUGGCCCUGAACCAAUAUGAUUGCUAUAACUGGGAAACAUAGAUAUUAGUUCUUUCUAUGCCUAAUAAAAUUUGGAUCGAAAACCAAAUUUUCAAUUAUGAAGCCUUCUGAUGGCAAUUGCUUUGUGGAAGAUUUAAACUGCUUCGUAACAAUCAAGCCUAUCCUCUGCACACUAUCCAAUAUGGCCAUGUUCUCAUGUUGAAAAUAUAAUUCAUUGGAAUAGAGGCUUUAAAAUUUAUGGUCGGUUUAAUGAUUUAUCAAUAUGCUGCAAUUGUAUAUUUUUAUUUUUCAAUUGGAUGAUUGGAAUCUAUCAAGCAAGCUUUGUAUGAACUGGUGAUUCUUCCUCUGCGGAAACCUGAGCUCUUCUCACAUGAGAAACUUCUUGGUCCACAAAAGGGGGUAUUGUUAUAUGGACCUCCAGGCACCGGGAAGACCAUGCUUGCAAAAGCUAUUAUCAGAGACUUUGGAGCUGUUUUUAUAAAUAUGAGGAUCUCUAAUUUGAUGAGCAAGUGGUUCGGCGAUGCACGAAAGCUCGGUCACCCCUUCCCGCAAGCAGCAAUCUGUACCCACUUUCCACGACUCUGUCUUGGGAUGCUGGCAAUUUCCAUGAAGCAGAGCUAUAAAUGGAAAAGGAUUGUUUGAAUUGGAGCAAAGAAAAACUUUGGUCAUGAGCACAAAAAUGAGAUGAAGAAAUUGUUGAAAGGAAAUGGAAGAGAAACAGAAUGAAAGAGAGGGAAACCCCAUGUUUGGCCUUGCAGGAUUUAGUAGUAUAUUUGGGAGAGAUGAGGAAUAAAGAAAGGCAUUGUUUGUAUAUUUAGUAGUAUAUUAUAGACAAAGCAAUCUUAGAUUGUAUACUGACGAAAUCAAAGUCACUGACCGGCCAAAUCUCAAGUACAAGAGUGAGUAAUACGUGCGCAAAGCAAUGGGGGCACUAAAGACUUUGUACUUAUGUAUCGUUUCUCGUGACGCAAAAGUACUCAUUGUGUGCCCUCGGUAAUGUAUAACAGUUUAAAAAUCGUGACAGCUUAAUUUGAAUGUAUAGAGAUGUUUUUCCAAA